UUUUCUUGUGUGGAACAAAAAUAUUUUACCAUUUCAUGAAUCAGAAAAGGGUUUGUUUCUUUUCUUUCCUUCCCUGCGCCACAAAUACAGAAUACCUAAAAAUAUCUUUUUUAGUAUUCAUGUGACUAGAAUACGAGAACAGCAACACACAGCUCAGUGAUUUUAAUGAUGAUGAUGAUGAGGAUUUUAAAUUAAAAAAAAUUUUUUGUGGAAUCAUCCCUCAAAAUCAAUACGAUAAUAAUAUGAUAAUUGCUUUUACUUCUGCUGCUUACUGCAUUUUUUCCCAGCUGCUCUACUCAGGUCUUUUCUCAUGCAUUCACCUGUUUCCUGUUUCUGCUAUCGUUACAAAAAAACAGCAAGUGCCAGUGGGUCACUCAAAUCUAAAGCUGUACCUAACACUGCAGGGGGGUUUCCAUAAUUCACUGUGAUUCAUUACCUUAUACAGCAGCCAAGAAGCUAUGCAGAAUCUCCUGGUCGCCAGUGUUUACAUUGUUCAUAUUAAAAAAGAAUUUGCUGGUAGAGAAUGCCAGUUUAUUAGUGGUUUUGGGGGGUUUCAAUUAUUCAAAACUGUUUCCAGUGCAAAGAUUUGAAAGGUUAUUUAGUAAUGUUAUCUUUCUUCUGUACUGCAGUUUACUGUGUAUGUCACAUAUAUGUAGGAUAACAUAAAUGUCCUCACAGCUGAUUCUGAAUAUAGUGUUUUCAUCACUGUCUAGUGUGACAUCACCAGUGCUACCAGUUCGGUAUUAGGCAUCACUGUUUACUGUGGCCUCUGUGCUACUGUGCUGCUUCUUUCCAAAUUAUUGCCUGUGUUACUGGCAAAAUCUUCUCCUGUGACGCCUUCAAACAUGAACACACCGUCAGUUCUGUAUUUAUGAUACUAAUGCUUAGACUUAACACUUCUCACUGUGACAACAGACAUUCAAGAAACUGCUGACAGGUGGCAUUAUUCUGAUUUUGCUGCCUAAUAUCAGAAAUAUGGGGAAAUCCUUAAAAAAUGUUAAUUUGCAGGCCAUGUCCACAGUACUUUGUGAGAGUGUAAGGUUGGUUUUUGUUUUUUCCAUUGAUCUUUGUACAGAGCCUCCUGUUAGUGGUGUGGAAGAAUAGCUGUAAGAGUUUUUAUAAUUGAGUUUUUUGAUUGCAUAAUAUUCAGAUAAAAUGUCAGAUAUAUCAAUAAAAAUGUAAUGACUUUUAUGUAUGUGGACAUGGCCUUAUGUAGUGAGUUUCUCCAUUCAGUAUUUUCCUUCUUCAGUGUAAAUUUAUGAGUGGGUGUUUUUUUUCUUUUCUUUUUUUGUGGACAAAUAAAGAUAAACACAUUUGCUUCAAAAUGCUGACUUUCUCUUUAAUUUGUCAAUUUAAAAAAUAUGCUGUACCAGUAUAUCAUGUAUUAAAUGCUUCCAUAUACUGCUUUAUCCAUAUACAAAACAAACGUACUUUUAAAAUGUCAAUGCAACAAAAACCAAGAAAACAAUUACAAAAACACAGUUUAUCCUUCUUAGAUAGAUUUUAUUAGAUGGG
ensembl:lncRNA